CAGUAGCCGCGGUAAAACAGAGGGUGCGAGCGUUAAUCGGAUUUACUGGGCGUAAAGCGUGCGUAGGCGGCUUUUUAAGUCGGAUGUGAAAUCCCUGAGCUUAACUUAGGAAUUGCAUUCGAUACUGGGAAGCUAGAGUAUGGGAGAGGAUGGUAGAAUUCCAGGUGUAGCGGUGAAAUGCGUAGAGAUCUGGAGGAAUACCGAUGGCGAAGGCAGCCAUCUGGCCUAAUACUGACGCUGAGGUACGAAAGCAUGGGGAGCAAACAGGAUUAGAUACCCCUGUAGUCCCUGUCUCUUAUAC
rnacentral:rRNA from 1 species